CCAAUCGCGUAUAUUAAAGUUGUUGCAGUUAAAAAGCUCGUAGUUGAAUUUCGGGAUCAAUAUAUCGGUCGUGCCAUUGGUACGUACUGGUAUCAUUGGUUUCUCCUUUCUGACGAACCAUGAUGUCAUUAAUUUGGUGUUAUGGGAAGUUAGGACUGUUACUUUGAAAAAAUUAGAGUGUUUAAAGCAGGCUUUAGCUUGAAUACAUUAGCAUGGAAUAAUGAAAUAGGACGUUCGAACCUAUUUUGUUGGUUUCUAGGAUCAACGUAAUGAUUAAUAGGGAUAGUUGGGGGCAUUAGUAUUCAAUUGUCAGAGGUGAAAUUCUUGGAUUUAUUGAAGACUAACUACUGCGAAAGCAUUUGCCAAGGAUGUUUUCAUUAAUCAAGAACGAAAGUUAGGGGAUCGAAGACGAUCAGAUACCGUCGUAGUCUUAACCAUAAACUAUGCCGACUAGGGAUCGGAUGAUGUUAAUUUUUUAAUGACUCAUUCGGCGCCUUACG
rnacentral:rRNA from 1 species